rnacentral:rRNA from 1 species
GAUGAACGCUGGCGGCGUGCUUAACACAUGCAAGUCGAACGGAAAGGCCCUGCCUUUGUGGGGUACUCGAGUGGCGAACGGGUGAGUAACACGUGAGUAACCUGCCCUUGACUUUGGGAUAACUUUAGGAAACUGGGGCUAAUACCGGAUAGGAGGUCCUGCUGCAUGGCGGGGGGGGGAGAGUUUCGGCGGUUGGGGAUGGCCCCGCGGCUUAUCAGCUUGUUGGUGGGGUAGCGGCUUACCAAGGCUUCGACGGGUAGCCGGCCUGAGAGGGUGUCCGGCCACAUUGGGACUGAGAUACGGCCCAGACUCCUACGGGAGGCAGCAGUGGGGAAUAUUGCACAAUGGGCGGAAGCCUGAUGCAGCGACGCAGCGUGGGGGAUGACGGCCUUCGGGUUGUAAACCGCUUUCGCCUGUGACGAAGCGUGAGUGACGGUAAUGGGAAAAGAAGCACCGGCUAACUACGUG